GCGCGUGUAGCUCAGUUGGUUAGAGCAUCGAGCUUAUACCUCGAGGGUCCCACGUUCGAAUCGUGGCACGCGCACCA
rnacentral:tRNA from 1 species